UACGUAGGGGGCAAGCGUUAUCCGGAUUUACUGGGUGUAAAGGGAGCGUAGACGGCAGUGCAAGUCUGAAGUGAAAGGCAAGGGCUCAACCCUUGGACUGCUUUGGAAACUGUGCUGCUGGAGUGUCGGAGAGGCAAGUGGAAUUCCUAGUGUAGCGGUGAAAUGCGUAGAUAUUAGGAGGAACACCAGUGGCGAAGGCGGCUUGCUGGACGAUGACUGACGUUGAGGCUCGAAGGCGUGGGGAGCAAACAGG
rnacentral:rRNA from 1 species